rnacentral:lncRNA from 1 species
CCUCUGCAGAGCACCCUGUUGACAUUUUCUGAAACAGGUUCCAUCCUGACCCUGGAGAGCCAGCUGACUUGUGGAAACAGCAGGAUGCCAUUCUGAGCCAAGCCCAGUGGAGCUGGAAGAGGGCAAGCAGAGAACGCCCCCGCCUCCAGGCCCCGAGCACUGUGAGCUGUCUGCCUGCACAGGGCUGCCUGACCCCACCCUCCUGACCACGUCCCCACUCCUGGGGACGGUUCCCGGCCUCCACGGCAUCCCGGGGAAGGCAACAGAGAUGGACUGGAGGGCACGGGAGGACACGCAUUCACUGACCGUCCAGCCCAGCAAAGCAAGAAACCGUCAAAAACUAAAAAUUCCAUUUGUAAACAAGAUCGAAUUAUUUGAUUGUG